CUUCAGAGGACACAAUACCAAAGCUCCAAACAGUUGCAGAUCGGGGUAACGCAAGCACGGAUAUAAAGAUGAGGAUAAGGAAUGAAUUCAGUAGGUAAAGCAGAGAAUAAAUUCUUCGUUAUGAACUGCUUAGAAAGUCACUGUAAGGGUGAGCUGCAUCAUUACACAACUCAGCAAAGGCAGGUGCUACAAUUACCUCGUCUAAAAAAUCGUGCAAGAGCUCUUUUGCAAGGAGAGAAAGCAUCUGGGAUCUUUCCUCUUCUACAGUAAUCUCAUUUGCUGUGAAACAAAUGAAUUCAGGUCCCUGAAUUUUCCUCAAAGACCAUCUCUAAGUACCGGCCAGCUGAUCUGCAGCAAUCUAGAGGGUGGG
rnacentral:lncRNA from 1 species